rnacentral:rRNA from 1 species
AGAGUUUGAUCCUGGCUCAGAUUGAACGCUGGCGGCAUGCUUUACACAUGCAAGUCGAACGGCAGCACGGGGGCAACCCUGGUGGCGAGUGGCGAACGGGUGAGUAAUACAUCGGAACGUAUCCUUGAGUGGGGGAUAACGCAGCGAAAGUUGUGCUAAUACCGCAUGAGCUCUGAGGAGGAAAGUGGGGGACCGUAAGGCCUCACGCUGAAGGGGCGGCCGAUGUCCGAUUAGCUAGUUGGUGAGGUAAAGGCUCACCAAGGCUUCGAUCGGUAGCUGGUCUGAGAGGAUGAUCAGCCACACUGGGACUGAGACACGGCCCAGACUCCUACGGGAGGCAGCAGUGGAGAAUUUUGGACAAUGGGGGCAACCCUGAUCCAGCCAUGCCGCGUGAGUGAAGAAGGCCUUCGGGUUGUAAAGCUCUCUCGUGAGGGAAGAAACGGCCAUAGUGAAUAGCUGUGGUUACUGACGGUACCUCAAGAAGAAGCACCGGCUAACUACGUGCCAGCCGCCGCGGU